rnacentral:rRNA from 1 species
CCAGACUCCUACGGGAGGCAGCAGUGGGGAAUAUUGGGCAAUGGGCGCAAGCCUGACCCAGCAACGCCGCGUGAAGGAAGAAGGCUUUCGGGUUGUAAACUUCUUUUCUCAGGGACGAAGAAAGUGACGGUACCUGAGGAAUAAGCCACGGCUAACUACGUGCCAGCAGCCGCGGUAAUACGUAGGGAGCGAGCGUUGUCCGGAAUUACUGGGUGUAAAGGGAGCGUAGGCGGGCUUGUAAGUUGAAUGUAUAAUCCAUCGGCUCAACCGGUGGUCGCGUUCAAAACUGCAGGUCUUGAGUGAAGUAGAGGCAGGCGGAAUUCCUAGUGUAGCGGUGAAAUGCGUAGAUAUUAGGAGGAACACCAGUGGCGAAGGCGGCCUGCUGGGCUUUAACUGACGCUGAGGCUCGAAAGCGUGGGGAGCAAACAGGAUUAGAUACCCCAGUA